rnacentral:rRNA from 1 species
UGAAGUUAGCGGCGGACGGGUGAGUAACACGUUGGGGUAACCUGCCCAUAAGACUGGGAUAACUCCGGGAAACCGGGGCUAAUACCGGAUAACAUUUUGAACCGCAUGGUUCGAAAUUGAAAGGCGGCUUCGGCUGUCACUUAUGGAUGGACCCGCGUCGCAUUAGCUAGUUGGUGAGGUAACGGCUCACCAAGGCAACGAUGCGUAGCCGACCUGAGAGGGUGAUCGGCCACACUGGGACUGAGACACGGCCCAGACUCCUACGGGAGGCAGCAGUAGGGAAUCUUCCGCAAUGGACGAAAGUCUGACGGAGCAACGCCGCGUGAGUGAUGAAGGCUUUCGGGUCGUAAAACUCUGUUGUUAGGGAAGAACAAGUGCUAGUUGAAUAAGCUGGCACCUUGACGGUACCUAACCAGAAAGCCACGGCUAACUACGUGCCANCAGCCGCGGUAAUACGUAGGUGGCAAGCGUUAUCCGGAAUUAUUGGGCG